GAUGAACGCUAGCGGCAGGCCUAAUACAUGCAAGUCGAGGGGUAUGGGUUGCUUUCAACCCAGAGACCGGCGCACGGGUGCGUAACGCGUAUGCAAUCUACCUUAAUCAGGGGGAUAGCCCGGAGAAAUCCGGAUUAACACCGCAUAACAUUGAGUUGUGGCAUCACAGUUCAAUCACAUAUUUAUAGGAUUAAGAUGAGCAUGCGUGACAUUAGUUAGUUGGUGAGGUAACGGCUCACCAAGACCACGAUGUCUAGGGGAUCUGAGAGGAUGACCCCCCACAGGGGUACCGGGACAAGGACCAGAGUCGUACGGGACGCAGCAGUAAGGAAUAUUGCUAAAUGGGCGAAAGCCUGAACGAGCCAUGCCGCGUGCAGGAAGGCGGCACUAUGGGUUAUAAACUGCUUUUGUACCGGAAUAAACCUUCGCUUGCGAGAGAAGCUGAACGUACGGUAAGAAUAAGGAUCGGCUAACUCCGUG
rnacentral:rRNA from 1 species